rnacentral:tRNA from 2 species
UUCUAUCUAGUUUAAAUAAAACAAUAGUUUGUGGAACUAUUAUUUCUAAAAU